rnacentral:rRNA from 1 species
AUUCCUGCAUACAAUACGUUAAUACUUGAGUAUAAUUGAGGAUAGCAGAAUUUUAUUAGGAGGAGUAAAAUCCAUAAAUCAAUGAAGGAAUGCCAGAGGCGAAGGCGGCUAUCUGGGUUAUUACUGACGUUGAGGAACGAAAGCAUGGGUAGCAAACAGGGUUAGAUAUUCUGGUAGUCCAUGCUGUCAAAGAUGAGUGUUAAUAUUGGGUUAUUCUGAUAUACAGCUAACGCGUUAAACAUUCCGCCUGGGUA